rnacentral:tRNA from 1 species
GGAAAAAUGGCUCAGUGGUAGAGCGCUUGCCUUGCAUGCAUGAGGCCCUACGUUUGAUUCCU